rnacentral:rRNA from 1 species
GACGAACGCUGGCGGCGUGCCUAAUACAUGCAAGUUGAGCGCUGAAGGUUGGUACUUGUACCAACUGGAUGAGCAGCGAACGGGUGAGUAACGCGUGGGGAAUCUGCCUUUGAGCGGGGGACAACAUUUGGAAACGAAUGCUAAUACCGCAUAAAAACUUUAAACACAAGUUUUAAGUUUGAAAGAUGCAAUUGCAUCACUCAAAGAUGAUCCCGCGUUGUAUUAGCUAGUUGGUGAGGUAAAGGCUCACCAAGCCGAUGAUACAUAGCCGACCUGAGAGGGUGAGCGGCCACAUUGGGACGGAGACACGACCCAAACUCCUACGAGAGGCAGCAGUAGGGAAUCGUCGGCAAUGGACGAAAGUCUGACCGAGCAACGCCGCGUGAGUGAAGAAGGUUUUCGGAUCGUAAAACUCUGUUGGUAGAGAAGAACGUUGGUGAGAGUGGAAAGCUCAUCAAGUGACGGUAACUACCCAGAAAGGGACGGCUAACUACGUG